AUUGAACGCUGGCGGAAUGCUUUACACAUGCAAGUCGAACGGCAGCACGGGGCAACCUGGUGGCGAGUGGCGAAGGGGUGAGUAAUACAUGGGAACGUGCCACAGCGUGGGGGAUAACGAAGCGAAAGUUACGAUAAUUCCGGAUACGAUCUACGGAAGAAAGCGGGGGAACGCAAGACCACGCGCUAAUGGAGCGGCCGAUGUCAGAAUAGGUAGUUGGUGGGGUAAAGGCUCGCCAAGACAACGAGCUGUAGCUGGUCUGAGAGGACGACCAGCCACACUGGGACUGAGACACGGCCCAGACUCCUACGGGAGGCAGCAGUGGGGAAUAUUGGACAAUGGGGGAAACCCUAAUCCAGCCAUGCCGCGUGUGUGAAGAAGGCCUUAUGGUUGUAAAGCACUUUAAGCGAGGAGGAGGCUACUGAGACUAAUACUCUUGGAUAGUGGACGUUACUCGCAGAAUAAGCACCGGCUAACUCUGUGCCAGCAGCCGCGGUAAGAC
rnacentral:rRNA from 1 species